rnacentral:rRNA from 1 species
UGGGGAAUAUUGCACAAUGGGCGCAAGCCUGAUGCAGCCAUGCCGCGUGUAUGAAGAAGGCCUUCGGGUUGUAAAGUACUUUCAGCGAGGAGGAAGGCGGUAAGGUUAAUAACCUUAUCGAUUGACGUUACUCGCAGAAGAAGCACCGGCUAACUCCGUGCCAGCAGCCGCGGUAAUACGGAGGGUGCAAGCGUUAAUCGGAAUUACUGGGCGUAAAGCGCACGCAGGCGGUCUGUCAAGUCGGAUGUGAAAUCCCCGGGCUCAACCUGGGAACGGCAUUCGAAACUGGCAGGCUAGAGUCUUGUAGAGGGGGGUAGAAUUCCAGGUGUAGCGGUGAAAUGCGUAGAGAUCUGGAGGAAUACCGGUGGCGAAGGCGGCCCCCUGGACAAAGACUGACGCUCAGGUGCGAAAGCGUGGGGAGCAAACA